GUCAUGAAACCAAAGGCAACCUACUUGCUCCGUUAGCUCUUGCUGGAUUUUGAGGCCAGGACUUUCCCUGUGCUUCUGAGUUGCCACUGUACCCAGUGCUACACACACAUUUGUAUGUGUAUGUAUAUGUGUAUAGCUACACAUGUACAUAUAUACAUACUCUAUACAUUUAUAUCUACACGUCUAGUUUUGUUACAAUAGACUCUAAGAACUGGUGGUUAACAUGAAAUGUUACCUUUUAACAAGCAGUUUCUAAAAUUGAAAAUAAUGUAUGUACAGGUUUUGAAAUUUGUAAAAUAUGACUGUUAAAAGGAGGCUAUUUAACUGGUGACAUUAAGAUACUUGAACAUUUUAUGCCUCACGUCUGUUUAUCAGUUCUAGUUAUCUGUAUAAAUGCAUUUUAGAACCGAUAGACAGUAAACUUGAAUUUACCUUUUGAUAAAGAGUACAAGCCACUGUACAUUCAAAAACUAUUUAAAUUUGCAAACACACUGUUCUAUAUGUAAGGUACUGUAUGUAAAACUGUUUAUUAAAACUAUUCUGCAUACUCUACAUUUUCCACUGUUCUUCCUGAUCUGCAUACAAAUGUAAAAAAGAAGUGAUUGUUCUAAUGUACAGACCAUCAAAAAAAUCUUGGAAUGCCUUUUGAGGAUGCAUAACAUUGAAAUAUGUGCCAAAGAUGGAUUAUCUGGGAAAGACUUUGCAGCCAGUGCAUUGAACUUUCAUGAUAGAACCAUUAUGGAGAAAGCAAGCAGCAUGGCUGGUUCAUUGCUAAAAUAAACCUACCCUGAUGUUUCCCGUUUGUCUAUCAUAGCUGCAGUGAGUUAUCACUCUUGAUGUCCAAAGCAAAAUGUAAACCCCUGUUACAAGGUGUUUGCUAUUUAAAAGGUCUUGCCACAUCAAGCUUAUAGGAGAUAUUGCAGAGCUGCAUGGGAACAUGGAAGUUAAUUAUGAAAUGAUUGGCAACUUCAUAAUGCAGAAAGAAAACGAGCUGAGGAGUUGUUGACAUUUUUAUAGCAACUGUUAAUAAAUGAAGUACUCUCUGUUAUGUAGUUGGAUGCUUAAAUAACUGCUUCAAACAAUAUGAGUAGUUGAGUGACCUACUUGCUUUGGGAUAUGUGAGACUCUUCUAUUGUUCACUUGCUGCAUAACCUCGAAUGUGGUACUGUGUAAGAGAAGUGUAAAUCCAGAUGAAUACUUUGAAACAAAGUGGAGUGUAUUUACAGAAUCUAUACAGCAUAUACUGUAGCAACAUUAUGCAAUGUGUGUCAUGUAAUAUAAUUGUAAAUGUUACUGAAGGUGGAGGUGGACCCGGAGAUUCUAGGUGGGAGGAUGAAGGUUUCAUUCUUAGUGCAGAGAUGAAGGAAUGGUAUCCUGAAAAGGAAAUCAUAAGGUCAAAGUUAAAGUUGCCCUUGCAGCUUUAAUUUGUCUUCUGUUUGUAUUUGUAAUGGUCUCUACAUGAGUAUGUAAUUGUAUCCCUCAGGAUCCUGCCUUAUCAGGAUGGACUGUGCUUACAAGAACAAAUAAUCUGUUCAGUACUUUUUAGUCUUAAUUUCUUGCAUAGUCACGUAUUAGAAAAAUUCCUGCAAGCAUUCAUACCUUCUGAGGCACAAUCUCAGUGUCCUUUUGGACUGUGCUGUGAUACAUCAUGUAUUGCUUGAAUGCUUCGCAGACUUGUCCGAGUUUGCUUUCUCAAACUGUGAUCUUAAUCUCUACCAUGCGAACAUUAGUUUUGGCUCCAGAUUCUCAAGUAUUCAAAGGUUUGGGAUGCUUUUGAAGUAUUUUCUUUGAGCACUUACAAGUCAAGUGCCAUACAAAUGCUAAGUGUUUUGCACAGUAACCUACAGUUGAUUGCUUUGCUCAUAUGCCAGUCAAACCUGAUGUGACCUGGUUCAGACCAGUAUUUCUUCCAGUCAGCCUUAUCAAGAAUGUUUUUCCUGUAGGAAUCAUUUUCCAUCUGUCUUCCUACUUCCUCUGUGAAUAAGCCAGGGAUCUACGCACGGUCUAUUUGCAACAUCAUUUAUCGAGGUGUGAAUUGCAAUCACUUGUGCUGUAUAAUGGAGGCAGACCCACUUGGAGAAAGAAAUAGUAUCUGGCAAUGUGAGGAGUGCUUUUGAUACAUGUGCACAGAAGGGUAACAAUUACAAAUUUGCAGCCUUUUAACCUAUUAUAAGUUCUUAAUAGUAAUAAACAAAAGGGAAAUG
ensembl:lncRNA